AGAUCUAUCUGGGUCCCAAAGAAAGUUGAGUCCCUCCCACACAAGUCCACACAGUUGCUAGGAUACAGCGUUAUCAUCUCUGAGUUGUUCCAUGGACCCUUUUCUCAAGCACCCUUUUCUGGUUUGCGUUGUUUUCCCUGGAUCAGCAAUCUUGGAAGUUACCUUCUAAUCAGCACAAAGGUUUUCCACAGAUGGCUCUGACAGAAAAGAAAGUCUUCCACAUGUCCUAUUUAUGGAGCACCGUGGGUCCCUUGUCUCCCUGCAUCUAACCUGGCACAAGUCAAAUACAAGUUUGCACUGAUGAACGAUGUGCAAACUUGUGCAGAAAAACGAAGUGGAGACGUUUCUAGGCUGAAAAAAAAAACCGAGGAACCAAGGUGCCUCGGCGUCAAGAAGAGUCUGGAUGCCUGAGUCCAUGUUGUGGCUAAGGGACAGAGCAUCCAGAUUGUUCUAGGCACUGGGGAAAGCAGCGACCAUCACCAGCAAGAUUCUCUCUCACCAAUAAACUGGAGUUGCAUUUAAUGGAGGAGACGGGCAAUAAGACAACGAGGAGGUAGCGGGUCUCAUACAACCUACAGAACCAGAACUCCAGCUGCAACACACUCACAAGGGAUCAGGACCCAGGAGGGAAGAGGAAGUGGAAACAGUGCGCAGCCCGAACAUAAACUAGAAACGCAAUUUCCAUUCAAGGAAGGGUGGAGGAGGCAGGCUCUGAACUUGAACACUUUCACAAUGAAAAUAAUCCCUGCCCAAAGGGCCAGAAAAUGUUCUCUGGUAUAGACGAUCUCCAUCUGGGGGGGCGACCGACACUGUUAGGACCCUCUCCAUGCCGUGCACCUGGUGAGCUCACAGCCUGGGCCCCAGCCUCAGCUCCCAAGGCCACACCAGUGGUUUCCUUUGGCCCUCCCUCCCGCAGUUCAUCAUAUGUCCCAUGAGGCAGUUAAACAAUUUCCUUAAAUUAUGAUGCAUCCUCUCUCUUUCUGUGACCAGGCAGGCUUCGACUCUCCUUGGAUAUGGCAAAAAACAAAAACAAACAAACAAAACAACAACAACAACAAGAACAACAAAAAACCCUCUAACUGAGUCAAAACUCUACAUUUUUGCAGUGCAGCCCAGGCUGCACUUGAGUCAAGGAGCGGGCAGGGGCCUCUGGGAUGCGAGACCCCACCCCCAACCCUGGCUCAGGACAGAUGCAGCACAGUGGGUAGGCUGGAAAAGCACGACCUGGGUACCAUGGGGGAGGCACAGGCCAUGGCAGGCUGAGGGGCCUCAU